CAACAGUGCACAGGAGUGCCAGCCUUUGAAAAAUAUGACCAGAGAUCUAAGGAUGAAAAUCUGCUUGGUGUUCAAAGUCAUGCUCUGUCCCCUGCUGCCGCACAGCAACAGAAGGAACUGGAUUAAAAAUUCUCUUUCUGCUUCUCGCAGUCACUUUUCUUUUUUUCUAUUUUUGAUAGAAAAAGGAUGCACCCUACUCACACAUGCACCUGGAAACAUCUCAACUAAGGAAAGACCUACAGGUCACAUACCUUAGUGGAUAAGUUGGGUAAAUGACAAUGUGCACCUUCCCGUUGCCAGUGACAGAGCAAGCUACCAAACAGCACUAACGUAUUAAUCAACAGUAGGCCAUAAACAGGAUUAACAAUUUGUUAUUUUUCAAAAUAGAAUUCUUGGAAUCCUUUACCACAAUUUGUUGCUGUUCAAAAUGGAGCUGGCAGUUAAAUGCUAAACUUGGAUGAUGUAUAAACAAUCAGUAUCUCUUUAGUAUUAAACCCAUGGAAAGCAGAAGAAGGAAUGAAAAUAAGAUGAUGUCUGUGAUUGGCCAAGAUUUCAACUUGCAGUGUUGACAUUUUGAUAUGGAGUCAGUACAACUGAAAAGGUCCCAAGCAUUUCUGCUGUCCUAAUAAGUGAUAUAUAGUAACUGCUAACAUUGCCAUAGAAGCUAUCAAAUGUCCUACUUGACCAGGCCAGAAUUUUUCUACAUGUUAAGACUGCACUAUUUUGAAAAGACAUGAUAUGAUUACAUUUAGAUUAUUUCAGUGGACAAGAUUCCUAUAAGGGAUGCUGUUGUAAAAACAAAAAAUGUAAAUUCUGUCUUUUACUGUUGUGAUAAAAAUAUUUUAAAAGUUAA